UAGCUUUUGUUAGGUUUUAUUAUGUCCCAAAAUUAAUCUUAGCUAAUUUGGUUGGAAAAAUAAUUAAUUAUAUUUUUUUUUCAAAAUCUUUGUAUGGCGCAUAUCAGAAAAAUCGAGUUUUCUCCGAAAAUAAAAAGUUAACCGUAAUAUCCUGACAGAUGAUUUUAAAACCAAUUAUUCUUGAUUUUUCCACAUAAUUAGAAUUUUCCUACGGGGUGCACUUUUUUUUUUAAUCGAUAUAUGUAUAUAUAUUUUUUUUUUUUUUUUUUUUUUUUUAAUACGGUUAUACUCGUUAUUUUGACUACAAAAAAUGAAUUUGAGUUUGAUCGAACCAAUAACUUACGCGUAGUGAAUUUUUGAUGUAAUGGUUUUAUUUUCAAUUUUCUACUUGUAACUCUUGUAUGUUUAUUAUUUAUUUGAUUAAAACAAUGAGAAAAAGCUAUUUCAGCAUGAAAAAAUAAGUUUUUUAUUUUUUAUUAAAUAAGUGCAUACGGUAGAAAAGUUCGCGUUAUGUCAAAAUAUCAUUAAUAAUUGGUACUUAAAUCAUCUGCAAGGAUAUUACGGUAUACCUUUAAUU